UGCGCAGCGCAUGGCGCAGCACGAUGUUGCGGAACGCCACCCCCUUGAGCCGGGCGGUGCGGAUAUAUUGCGCCGUCAUCACCUCGGUCAUCGAGGCGCGGGUCAUCCGGGCGAUAUAGCCCAUGCCGUAGAGUGCGAUGGUCAUCACCGGCAGGGUGAAGUUGCGGAAGGUGGCGUCC
rnacentral:ncRNA from 1 species